rnacentral:rRNA from 1 species
GAUGAACGCUGGCGGCGUGCCUAAUACAUGCAAGUCGAGCGAACGGACGAGAAGCUUGCGUCUCUGAUGUUAGCGGCGGACGGGUGAGUAACACGUGGAUAACCUACUUCUAUGUCUUGGAUAAUUUCGGGAAACAGGAGCUACUACCGGAUAAUAUUUUGUACCGCAUGGAUCAAAAGUGAAAGACGGUCUUGCUGUCACUUAUAGCUGGAUCCGUGCUGCAUUAGCUAGUUGGUAAGGUAACGGCUUACCAAGGCAACGAUGCGUAGCCGACCUGAGAGGAUGAUCGGCCACACUGGAACUGAGACACGGUCCAGACUCCUACGGGAGGCAGCAGUAGGGAAUAUUCCGCAAUGGGCGAAAGCCUGACGGAGCAACGCCGCGUGAGUGAUGAAGGUCUUCGGGUCGUAAAGCUCUUUUAUUAGGGAAGAAAAUAUGCAUAUGUAACUGUGCACGUCUUGACGGUACCUAAUCAGAAAGCCACGGCUAACUACGUG